rnacentral:rRNA from 1 species
CCUACGGGUGGCAGCAGUGAGGAAUAUUGGUCAAUGGGCGGAAGCCUGAACCCGCCAAGUAGCGUGCAGGAUGACGGCCCUACGGGUUGUCAACUGCUUUUAUACGGGAAUCACGCGCCUUACGUGUAGGGCUUUGCAUGUACCGUAUGAAUAAGGACCGGCUAAUUCCGUGCCAGCCGCCGCGGUAAUACGUAAGGUCCGGGCGUUAUCCGGCUUUAUUGUGUUUCAAGGGAGCGUAGGCCGCAUGUCAAGCGUGCUGUGAUAUGUCCGGGCUCAACCCGGGCCUUGCAGCGCGAACGGGCGUGCUGGAGUCCGCGGAAAGCAGGCGGAAUGCGUGGUGUAGCGGUGAAAUGCUUAGAUAUGACGAAGAACCCCGAUUGCGAAGGCAGCUUGCUGCAGCGGAACUGACGCUGAUGCUCGAAAGCGCGGGGAUCGAACAGGAUUAGAUACCCCAGUAGUC